rnacentral:rRNA from 1 species
AUUGAACGCUGGCGGCAUGCUUUACACAUGCAAGUCGAACGGUAACAGGCCGCAAGGUGCUGACGAGUGGCGAACGGGUGAGUAAUGCAUCGGAACGUGCCCAGUCGUGGGGGAUAACUACUCGAAAGAGUAGCUAAUACCGCAUACGAUCUAUGGAUGAAAGCGGGGGACCGUAAGGCCUCGCGCGAUUGGAGCGGCCGAUGUCAGAUUAGGUAGUUGGUGGGGUAAAGGCUCACCAAGCCAACGAUCUGUAGCUGGUCUGAGAGGACGACCAGCCACACUGGGACUGAGACACGGCCCAGACUCCUACGGGAGGCAGCAGUGGGAAUUUUGGACAAUGGGCGCAAGCCUGAUCCAGCAAUGCCGCGUGCAGGAAGAAGGCCUUCGGGUUGUAAACUGCUUUUGUACGGAACGAAACGGCUCUGGUUAAUACCCGGGGCUAAUGACGGUACCGUAAGAAUAAGCACCGGCUAACUACGUG